UGGAGGAGGGGCCAGCGUGGAGGAGGGGCGGUGAGACUCUAAGAAGUAACCGUGGAAGCCCAGAUCAGAAGGGAAGCUGCCUAGGUAGACAGGACGCCAGGAGGGGACAGAUGGGGAAGACACCUACGCAGGGUUCCAUCCGUGGGGUAAUUGAUGCUGAUCUGGAGGAGCUGGUGAGCGGCCGGGGGCAUCCAUCAUCCACAGGACACAACGCACAGCCCUUUAAGCCAACACCAACAGUGACAAAUGGCACAGGCUGGGGACAGGCGGAAAGGAUGUGGACAGGAGAUCCAUCAACUUCCUCCUUGGGUCUCACCAGGGCCCAGAGGCCCAGAUCCCUUUUUGGUCUCCCACAGCAGAGUCAUUUUUCAGCAGGACUGGGUUGAAAGGCCAAUGUGGGGGGCACCGUGACAGUUUAGUGAUGGACACCCAGGGAGGCUGAUCCCAGGUCUGCCACCCUGACCCUGUAGCCCUGGGUGACUUUACACUGCCCUCGGUUCCUUCUCUACCUUCUACAGUUGAUGUAAAAUGUCAAAGACAGUGUGCGCCACGGGCCUGGGCAGGAGCGACUCAAUGAGUGUUUGUUGAGGGAGUGAAUAAAUGCGUAUCUGGGCUGCA